CCUACGGGGGGCUGCAGUUAGGAAUCUUCCACAAUGGGCGAAAGCCUGAUGGAGCGACACUGCGUGAGGGAUGAAGGUCUUCGGAUUGUAAACCUCUAAAACGGGGACGAUGAUGACGGUACCCGUUGAGAAGCACCGGCUAACUCCGUGCCAGCAGCCGCGGUAAUACGGAGGGUGCAAGCGUUAUCCGGAAUCACUGGGCGUAAAGGGCGCGUAGGCGGUCUGUUAAGUCCGAUGUUAAAGACCGGGGCUCAACCCCGGUAGGGCGUUGGAUACUGGCAGGCUGGACGGCUGGAGAGGCGAGUGGAAUUACCAGUGUAGCGGUGGAAUGCGUAGAUACUGGUAGGAACACCUAUGGCGAAGGCAGCUCGCUGGACAGCACGUGACGCUGAGGCGCGAAAGUGUGGGGAGCAAACCGGAUUAGAUACCCGGGUAGUC
rnacentral:rRNA from 1 species